AGGUUUUUAAUCUAGAUGUGCAUAUCAACCUUUACAUUUGCUUACCUUUUUAAAGAUAAGCAGUACUUUGAGAAAAUUAGAGUGCUCCAAGCAGUCUCUUGAUCGGAGACAUGAAUACUACAGCAUGAAUACUUGGAUCGGACAUUUGCUCGACCGAUUGGUUCCUAGGAAAAAGUCACGAUUGAUAGGGACGGAUGGCGGGUGCUCGUACUCCAUGGCAGAGGGUGAAAUUCUUGGAUUCAUGGAGACGAACAAUGCGAAAGCAUUCACCAAGGACGUUUUCUUUAAUCAAGAACGAAAGUUGGGGGAUCGAAGACGAUCAGAUACCGUCGUAGUCUCAACCAUAAACGAUGCCAACUUGGGGUCCGUUUAUCAACUUUUAAAUGAAUAGAAAUAUUGAUUUAAAAACUAGGUAGAUGGGAACCCAUAUGAGAAAUCCAAGUCUUCAGGUUCCGGGGGGAGUAUGGUCACAAGGCUGAAACUUAAAGGAAUUGACGGAAGGGCACACAAGGAGUGGAGCCUGCGGUUUAAUUUGAUUCAACACGAGAAAACUCACCAGGUCCAGACAAUGUGAGGAUUGACAGAUUGAAGAUCUUUCUUGAUUCAUUGGGUGGUGGUGCAUGGCCGUUCUUAGUUGGUGGUGUGAAUCGUCUGGUUAAUUCCGUUAACGAACGAGACUUGGUUCUUGUGAGGUACUCAAACCUCUAUAUAACUAGUGCUCCUUUUUGUUAAAAAAAGGAAGGACUUCUUAGAGAGACUAUCGG
rnacentral:rRNA from 1 species